GACGAACGCUGGCGGCGUGCUUGACACAUGCAAGUCGAACGGAAAGGCCCUGCUUUUGUUGGGUUCUCGAGUGGCGAACGGGUGAGUAACACGUGAGUAACCUGCCCUUGACUUUGGGAUAACUUCAGGAAACUGGGGCUAAUACCGGAUAUGAUCUCCUGCUCCAUGUUGGUGGUUGGAAAGUUUCGGCGGUUGGGGCUGGACUCGCGGCUUAUCAGCUUGUUGGUGUGGUAGUGGCUUACCAAGGCUUUGACGGGUAGCCGGCAUGAGAGGGUGACCGGCCACAUUGGGACUGAGAUACGGACCAGACUCCUACGGGAGGCAGCAGUGGGGAGUAUUGCACAAUGGGCGGAAGCCUGAUGCAGCAACGCCGCGUGCGGGAUGCCGGCCUUCGGGUUGUAAACAGAUUUCGACUGUGACGAAGCGUGAGUGACGGUAAUGGGUAAAGAAGCACCGGCUAACUACGUG
rnacentral:rRNA from 1 species